GCUUGUCUUGCAAGCGGUACCCGAGCCUCAACGUGACGACCUGUAAACAGUAGAGGUGGAGCGGGUGACGCACGUAGCCUUGGAAGGGUGAAGGAGCGUACCGAUGACCAACCUGAGAAGGUGCCAAGUGAGCCACCUUUGGGAUCAUCUGAGCAUUGAAAAGCAGCCGGAGUAGUAGCAAGGAUGAGCACGGGGUCAGCGACUUCUCACAAGCGCAAGGGAAACUUUGUCUCUCAAUAAGUUAGGUACCACAAGCGACAACCGCAAGGCUGCAGCACCUGACUCCAAAACGAGCAGGCGAUAAAGGAAUCUGGCCACUGCAGGAACGUGCUAGUUAGCUGCUGUGCUGCUUUUGUCGAGGAUGGAAUGGGAUCUCCGGCCCUCUGAAAGCUAAGUCGAGUGAACGGGGCCGAGAGGAGAGGACGAGGUUGGGAA